CCAGCAGUUGUAAGUCUAAAAAGAAAGGCAAACUAGAGCUCAGAAAGAAGGUACACCCAGCAGUGGUAAUUUGACAAUGCAAGUCAUACCAGAGAAAGAUGAUGUGUUUCUUUAUUUUGAAACACUAUGCAGGGGGCAUAGUAAACAAUAAAUGCAAGAUGAAAGAUUCCACCAUCACAGGACCUGUUGCAAAGGGAUGUGCAGACUUGUGGUCCACGAUGCAUCCAAUGUUGGCAGCAUUGCAUGAUUCCUCACUGUAUUUGUAAAAAAAUAAAAUUAUUUGCU